CAUUAAAUCCGGAGAAUAUGAUUUUUGAGCUGCUUGGUUGGGGACUAUUGGUGAUUCAGUAAUGUACAUAAAAUGUUUUUCCAAGUCAAGCAUUCUUUCUUCAUCAAUCAUUUCGUUGGGAAUUGUGUCUUCCUCCUGGAUACCAGAUGAUGUUCUCUGCACCCAGUCAGCCCAUAUUUCGGACAUCUUAUCACACAAGGC